GUCCGCACCGUAAACGAUGAUUACUCGCUGCUAGAUGGCAACAUUUAGUGGCUUAGCGAAAGCGAUAAGUAAUCCACCUGGGGAGUACGCCGGCAACGGUGAAACUCAAAGGAAUUGACGGGGGCCCGCACAAGCGGAGGAGCAUGUGGUUUAAUUCGAUGAUACGCGAGGAACCUUACCAGGGCUUGAAAGUUAGGGAAUAACUCUGAAAGGAGUUAGUCAGCAAUGACCCGAAACUAGGUGCUGCAUGGCUGUCGU
rnacentral:rRNA from 1 species